GUUAAUACGAUCCUAUCUCGUUACAUUUCAUCUUAUUAUAAUUAGUCGACACGCAGCUACUGAACGGAGUUGUUCCAACGAAUAAAAUUCUGUACAAGUGUACCCAAGUUUUGUGGUAGUGAUAGGUGACAAAAGUUUAUAGAACAUUAUAAAGAAAGGUCGCCAUGUACGUUGAUGGUGAGAGUUAUUACGGGUUUACAACCUUUUUCCAGUGGGCAGCAGUCGAUUGCAGCCCAGAGAGAUUCUAGGACAUGUUGCGUCUGGCCGUUAUGGUCACACUCAUGGCCACUACUGACCAACCUGCGACGGCCCGAGAUGCAAUCCAUGUGAUCUGAGAUUGUCCAACAUCGCUGACAUUGAGGUCCUGUCAGAGAGCCCUGUGAGCAUGGCUCGGUCCAUUUCUGCUCCUAUGGUAGCUACAUUUUCUCGUGACAAUUGAUAAGAAAAAUUAACCGAGAGAGAGGA